AGAAUGGAGAUUGGAUUCUUUGCUGGGCCUAAGUAACCUGAGAUUGUCUGACGGGGACUUCCAUUAGCCCCGUGUUCACUAAAGCUUGCCACACCACCAGCAAUGGUUUGCACCUUGCCUCAGCGUCUUUGUGGAUGCCAGCCAGUGAAAUCCUCCAGGUGCAAAGGGCAGCCUGAUGCUUGAAGGGACACCGGUCAUGCAGCAGCCCCAGAUUUCCCUCCCUUUGUAGUUGACUGAAGCAGCUUCAGACACAGCAGUUGGCAAGAAAUGGAAUGGUUCCUCUUUUUCCUGUUUCCUCAAUAUUUUCCUAAAAGACACAAACUUACAGAAGUUGUUUCUGAAAGUGGAGCUGACUGGAAAAGUACCCAGUUUUGUUUCUAGAUAUCUAUUUGUAGAAUUUUCCAAAGUCAGUCCGUCAGAGACAGGGGAUUCCAUCUCAAUCUACCUUGAAAGGCGAUUGAAUUAAACAAGCAUUUGAGGUAAAGCUGCAUCAGGCAUGAAUCCAGUUCUCAAGGAGCUCACUGCCAAGCUCAGCAGGUGAGACAGAGCACGAGGGGAAAAGGCAUUGGUGCACAAGAACAAGAACCACGGGACCAGUAAGUGGGGUCUUGUCCUGAGAGGCUGUGAGAAUCACUCCACUGCUUUUUCUUCAGGGUAACUUCAUCUCCCCACAUCAUGAUUUACUGUAAGGAUUGUGGGAAAUGCUU